rnacentral:snRNA from 1 species
AGCCGCGCGGUGAGCACAAAGCGAACUAUUUUUCGCCUUUUACUAAAGAAUACCGUGUGUGCACCGAAAAUAGUGGCAUACGCCUAUUUUUGGAGGGGGUUCUCAAAUUGAAUUCC